GACGAACGCUGGCGGCGUGCCUAACACAUGCAAGUCGAACGGAACUGUUUUGAAAGAUUUCUUCGGAAUGAAUUUGAUUUAGUUUAGUGGCGGACGGGUGAGUAACGCGUGAGUAACCUGCCUUCAAGGGGGGGAUAACAUUCUGAAAAGAAUGCUAAUACCGCAUGACAUAUCGGAACCACAUGGUUUUGAUAUCAAAGAUUUUAUCGCUUGAAGAUGGACUCGCGUCCGAUUAGUUAGUUGGUGAGGUAACGGCUCACCAAGACCGCGAUCGGUAGCCGGACUGAGAGGUUGAACGGCCACAUUGGGACUGAGACACGGCCCAGACUCCUACGGGAGGCAGCAGUGGGGGAUAUUGCGCAAUGGGGGCAACCCUGACGCAGCAACGCCGCGUGAAGGAUGAAGGUUUUCGGAUUGUAAACUUCUUUUAUUAAGGACGAAA
rnacentral:rRNA from 1 species